rnacentral:lncRNA from 1 species
GUGCUCUUCUUACCCACAGAUCCUCUAGAUUUCAGAUCGAAACAUCCUCCUUUGGAUGAAAAGAUGGAAGAAGAAAGAAAGAGAUGGAACCAUGGAAAGGAGAUGGAUGAGAGGUUAGGAUGGUAGCUUUUUGGGAUGUGGAGAGGGAUUGAAUGAUUUCCUAGGUUGAAGUGUUGGAGGCUUUUUAUAGAUGCUAGAAAGCAUAAAGUUUAUUUGACUAGACAAUGUGGGACUAAUGAUUAAUCAA